UUUGAAUCGGUGAAGUUUCAGAUCAAAUGACUGAUUCCCAUUUCAAUCGGAAUCGGCAACCGAUACCUGUUUUUUAAACCCUGCUAGUGAUACAAUGUUUGCGAAACCUGGUAUACAGUCCACUGUUUUACUACCAAAUAGGGGGAGGGGACCUUUCUCUCUCUAGCUAAUUAACCUAAGAUACAACGGAAGAAAGCCGACGUCGACACGAACAAGAGGCUAAUUAAACACACAGUGCAAGAUAUCCUUUGAUGUUUGGAAUUAAAUAGCUAUGGUACUAAUAGAAGUAUAAUAAUAAUGAGGAGCAUGUAACUAAUGGCAUGGGAUGUGAGACUACUGGAUCUGCCCCAUAGACGGAAAGAAAUUGCGGUCAAACCAACCCCUGCUUGAAUCAUCAUUUUUCCAAUGGAUGGAACCUUUUGAUGCAUAAGGACUCCAAAGAAGUAAAUCAGGGAGGACAACAUGAAGGUGUAGAGACUGAAGCGAAAUGUGAAGGAACAUGUGGGCUUGCUUCAUAGUAAGAGACUGAAAGAAGCAUUGCAGCCGCUAACUAGAGAUGGAUAUCCAUCUUUGUUGUCUUGAAAUGGUUAGUGCCACAAGAGUGCAUAAUCAACAUUGUUGGGAUUCGGUUGGUGGUAGGUGUAUGCUGUUGCCUGCUUGCAUUUCUACAUCGUGAAGAGGAAGAGGUGGAAGUGGUGCAUGGCUAAGAGGAGAAAGAGAACUUCCUAAGGAACCUUGCAGGGUCUCCCAUCCUUUUGCAUCUUAGCUCAAGAGCUAUGCCUGAGUGAUCUUGUUUGCCUAAUUUAUAGGAGAAAAGGCGUCUUGAAACAUUUUUAAUUUUCUCCUAAUGCAUGUUUCGAAAGACUUGCACUUAGUUUUAUGAAAUGCUAAAAACAUGCUAAGAUCGAUCAGAUAAUGACCAAUGUGGCAUGUAACUGAGGGAAUUGAGGUGACUUCUGUUUGGUGAUUUUCCAGUGUUAAACACCCCUCCAUGGAGCAAUUUAGUGACGUAGUUGAUCGUCUGGUUGAUGGUGACAAAA